rnacentral:rRNA from 1 species
GACGAACGCUGGCGGCGUGCUUAACACAUGCAAGUCGAGCGGUAAGGCCCUUUCGGGGGUACGACGAGCGGCGAACGGGUGAGUAACACGUGGGUGACCUGCCCUCAGCUCUGGGAUAAGCCUGGGAAACCGGGUCUAAUACUGGAUAUGACUCCAUGACGCAUGUUGUGGGGUGGAAAGCCUUGUGCGGCUGAGGAUGGGCCCGCGGCCUAUCAGCUUGUUGGUGGGGUGAGGCCUACCAAGGCGACGACGGGUAGCCGGCCUGAGAGGGCGACCGGCCACACUGGGACUGAGACACGGCCCAGACUCCUACGGGAGGCAGCAGUGGGGAAUCUUGCGCAAUGGGCGAAAGCCUGACGCAGCGACGCCGCGUGAGGGAUGACGGCCUGGUUGUAACU